rnacentral:rRNA from 1 species
AUGAACGCUGGCGGCGUGCCUAAUACAUGCAAGUCGAGCGAACGGACGAGAAGCUUGCUUCUCUGAUGUUAGCGGCGGACGGGUGAGUAACACGUGGAUAACCUACCUAUAAGACUGGGAUAACUUCGGGAAACCGGAGCUAAUACCGGAUAAUAUUUUGAACCGCAUGGUUCAAAAGUGAAAGACGGUCUUGCUGUCACUUAUAGAUGGAUCCGCGCUGCAUAAGCUAGUUGGUAAGGUAACGGCUUACCAAGGCAACGAUGCAUAGCCGACCUGAGAGGGUGAUCGGCCACACUGGAACUGAGACACGGUCCAGACUCCUACGGGAGGCAGCAGUAGGGAAUCUUCCGCAAUGGGCGAAAGCCUGACGGAGCAACGCCGCGUGAGUGAUGAAGGUCUUCGGAUCGUAAAACUCUGUUAUUAGGGAAGAACAUAUGUGUAAGUAACUGUGCACAUCUUGACGGUACCUAAUCAGAAAGCCACGGCUAACUACGUG